GCGCCUCACGGGUCAAGUCAGCGGCCGGUCCCGGAAAUGGAAGGCUUUGCCGUACAAGAUGUACAACAUGGCGGCUUCCUGUGUGGCGGUACGGCACGCUGAGAGGCUGGCCUGUUUCUGGGACACGCGGGGAUUGUAGCAGGCUCCUCGCGAAAGACGGCUCCGGCGGAGUUUCCCGGCGUCUUUGUCGUCGGGUCACACCAUGCGGCUUUAGUUCCCCCAAUAGGGAUCGAAGCCAGGCCCCCUGCAGUGAAAGCACAGAGUCCUAACCACUGGACCACCAGGGAAUUCCCCCUCAAACUGUUUUUAGAGUGUAAAACAGAUGAAGUGGAAGUUGUUUGGGCUGCAGAAGAGCAGUGAGCUGCAGCCGUGCCCAGAAGACCUUCGCCUUCCUUGUUGGUUGGCUUCUGAGGCCCCCAGCUGGUGCCCUGGGACAGCAUUGGAGCCUCGGGCACAGGACGCACACCGACGGCCACUGGCCCCUCAGGAGGGCUGGCUAGAACAGCUCUGACCCUGAGACCUGGGCCACACGAAUCAUCGGCUUUUGAGAAGGGACUCUCAGCCUGUGCCCAGGCAGCAUCCCAACCCCCCAACACCAUGCCAGCUGCACUUUCUCGUUUGUUUUCCUGGCAUAUCAACUUCAGCCCAGAGAGGAGGCCAAGAAGAAGCAUGAGAGACCCAGUGAGGGCCCCCCCCUCCUCUCUGCCCUGAACCAGAAGGCAGCUGCUUCCUUCCAGCCUGCACCCUGGAGGAGGCAGCCUGCUCGGAUGUCCAGGCCACACCUCCUGAGCUCUCCCUGCAGCACACCAGCCCCAUCAGAGGGGAGCUGGGAACCUGGUGGAUGACCACAGCCGCCAGGAGGAAGUGGACUGGAAGAGUUCUUCACUUCUCCAAAGUUAUGCUUACUGGUGGCUUUCGGAGUCUGUAUAAGAUGGGGGUGGGAGUGGGGUGAAGACCAUACCAGCCAAGAAUGAAUCCCAACUUUGUUACUGACCACUAGCAGCCAUGUGACGCUGACAGGUCAUUUCAAUUUUCUGAUCCUCACUCUCCAUUCUAAAGUGGAGGCAAAAAUUAAGCAACUCCUACUGUUGUCACAGGGACCAAAUGUCAUCUGGUAGUGGGGUUUCCAAAUCUUAGGAAUUGGCAUGCCACCUGCAUGAUUUUGGCCAUAUCUUCAUGCCAGUUUUACUAUUACUUACCUAAUUAUCCCCCCAGUUGGCUUGCCUUUUAAACAUGUCCUGAAGAAAUACUGCUCAUGAAAUUGGGUUUGUUUCACAUGUUAUAUUUUCCUACUCUACCUUAAAAUAAGUAGACAAUGAUUAAAAUUUAAAAUGUUGGGGGCUUCCCUGGUGGUGCAGUGGUUGAGAGUCCGUCUGCCGAUGCAGGGGACACGGGUUCAUGCCCCGGUCUGGGAAGAUCCCACAUGCUGUGGAGCGGCUGGGCCCAUGAGCCAUGGCCGCUGAGCCUGUGCGUCCGGAGCCUGUGCUCCGCAACGGGAGAGGCCACAACAGUGAGAGGCCCGUGUACCGCAAAAAAAAAAAAAAAAAAAGAAUAAGGGUGAACACUACAGAUUCAAUGCAAUGCCUUUCAAAUUACCAAUGGCAUUUUUUACAGAACUAGCACAAAAAAUCUUAAAAUUUUUAUGGAGACACAAAAGACCCCGAAUAGCCAAAGCAGUCUUGAGGGAAAAAUACGGAGCUGGAGGAAUCAGACUCCCUGACUUCAGACUAUACUACAAAGCUACAGUAAUCAAGACAAUAUGGUCCUGCUGCAAAAACAGAAAUAUAGAUCAGUGGAACAGGAUAGAAAGCUCAGAGAUAAACCCACACACCUAUGGUCAACUAAUCUAUGACAAAGGAGGCAAGGAUAUACAAUGGAGAAAAGACAAUCUCUUCAAUAAGUGGUGCUGGGAAAACUGGACAGCUACAUUUAAAAGAAUGAAAUUAGAACACUCCCUAACUCCAUAUACAAAAAUAAACUCAGAAUGCUUAGAGACCUAAAUGUAAGACUGGACACGAUAAAACUCUUAGAGGAAAACAUAGGAAGAACACUCUUUGACAUAAAUGACAGCAAGAUCUUUUUUGAUCCACCUCCUAGAGUAAUGGAAAUAAAAACAAAAAUAAACAAAUGGGACCUAAUGAAACUUAAAAGCUUUUGCACAGCAAAGGAAACUACAAACAAGAUGAAAAGACAACCCUCAGAAUGGGAGAAAAUAUUUACAAACAAAUCAACGGACAAAGGAUUAAUCUCCAAAAUAUAUAAACAGCUCAUGCAGCUCAAUCUUAAAAAAAAAGAUAACCCAAUAAAAAAAUGGGCAGAAGACCUGAGUAGACAUUUCUCCAAAGAAGACAUACAGAUGGCCAAGAAGCACAUGAAAAGCUGCUCAACAUCACUAAUUAUUAGAGAAAUGCAAAUCAAAACUACAAUGAGAUGUAUCACCUCACACCAGUUAGAAUGGACAUCAUCAGAAAAUCUACAAACAACAAAUGCUGGAGAGGGUGUGGAGAAAAAGGAACCCUCUUGCACUGUUGAUGGCAAUGUAAAUUGAUACAGCCACUAUGGAGAACCGUACGUAGGUUCCUUAAAAAACUGAAAAUAGAAUUACCAUAUGACCCAGCAAUCCCACUACUGGGCAUAUAUCCAGAGAAAACCAUAAUUCAAAACGACACGUGGGGCUUCCCUGGUAGCUCAGUGGUUGAGAAUCUGCCUGCCAAUGCAGGGGAAAGGGUUCAAGCCCUGGUCUGGGAAGAUCCCACAUGCCGUGGAGCAACUAAGCCCGUGUGCCACAACUACUGAGCCUGCGUGUCUGGAGCUUGUGCUCCGCAACAAGAGAGGCCGCGACAGUGAGAGACCCGCGCACCGCGAUGAAGAGUGGCCCCCGCUCGCUGCAACUGGAGAAAGCCCUCGCACAGAAACGAGGACUCAACACAGCCCAAAAUAAAUAAAUAAAAAUU